rnacentral:rRNA from 1 species
GACGAACCGUGCGAACGUUGUUCGGAAUCACUGGGCUUAAAGGGCGCGUAGGCGGGCCAUAAAGUCAGGGGUGAAAUCCUCCAGCUUAACUGGAGAACUGCCUUUGAUACUGAUGGUCUCGAGUAAGGUAGGGGCAUGCGGAACUGAUGGUGGAGCGGUGAAAUGUGUUGAUAUCAUCAGGAUCUCCGGUGGCGAAGGCGGCAUGCUGGACCUUCACUGACGCUGAGGCGCGAAAGCUAGGGUAGCGAACGGG